AGCUGACUCCAAGGAGGCGACCGUACCUCCCAGAACAACCCAAGGCGGCACCCAUCCUCCCAGAGCCAGACUGGAGCAGGUUUCCAGAACUGGACCCGAAACCUUGGCGACGGAAAGAGAAGCAUCCACUCUGCUUUGUGCACUAGGCAAGACCCAGGUGGCUCCAUCCUGAUGAAGCUCCCUCUGCCAUAUUGAUCCUAAAGAAACCCCAGCCCAGCUCACCCACAGGUCACUGGCACAGGAAGUAUGGUGGGAUUCACACCCACUCCUCAUACCACUUGUGCUACCCAGACGCUCCUUCCCCUACCCUGACAUCCGGCCUCUCCUGGAGUGUACCUCCCUGCUCCUCACCUGCCAUCUGAUGGCCUAUUUGAAAACUGUGGUUUCAGUUGCUCUUGACUGUGAAGACAAAUGGAGCCCAUGACACAUAACAGUUUCCUUUGAGACUGAAACAUUUCAUCGUGCCUGGAAGCUCUUCAAGCAGAGCUUCCAGGUGGAUCAGAAGUUCAAGGUCAUCCUCUGCUACAUUAUGAGGCCAGGUUGAGCUACAUAAGAACCUGUCAUCAUCAUCAUCAUCAUCAUUGUUCAUCAACCAGAAAAAUAAGCUAGUGAACCUCCCUUUGCAGGAGCCAAUAUCCAUAUCUUUCUGUGUCUCCUAUUUUCUUGCUGGGCUCCUUUCCGAGCUUCUGUACCCCUGGCCAAGAAGGAAAAUCCCCAUACGGCUCAGCCACCACCUCUCCUGCUGUCCCCAGAUUCCUGGGAUGUGACCCAAGCUCUGGACUGGUGGCCACACACCAGUCACCUGGGCAACCAGGCACACUUCAGCAAAGAGAAACAGAAGCUGCUUCUGGCUGCCCUUUCCUGGAGAGUGUGAUCUGGAGGCUCAGAGAGUCCAGGCCUUUCUCCUCCAGGAGCAGGAGGUCCAAUGACAGUCUCCCCUUGGUGGCCUCAAGGCCCGGUGCAGAAGCUAGUAUGAAUUUCAUAAAAGACCAAACCAGGCAAUGGGGUUGCAUGGCUAUAGUCCUAGCAUGGGGGUGGGGUACCAGGGAGCAAGGAGGAACGGGAGUUCAAGGCCAGCCUCUGGCAUGAAACAAGCUGGAGGCCAGCAUGUACUAUAAGGGGACUUUGACUCAAAAAACUGUGUGUGCGUGUGCUCAAGUUUGGGAGUUGGGUGAGGGUGGAGUGGGUAAGGAGAAGGGAGGAAAUCACUGAGAUGGGUCAUGGAGUAAAGGCUUGUCACCAAUACCAAGAACCUGAGUUUGAUCCCUCAAACCCACACUUGCAGGAGAGAACUCACUCCUGUAAGUUGCUGUCUGACCUCUACAUGCAUUUUGUGGUACAGGAUCAAGCAUAUGAGCAUAUACAUGCCUGUACAAACACACACACACACACGAUCGAUACAUGCUUGAGGGAGCACCCUUGGGAAGAUGGAAAAGGGUCUGGGAAAGAAAGACAGGUGUGGGCAGGAGCCUGAGGGCAUGUUUAAUUUACCUAAUCCUAGGAAGGCAAAGGCUCCUCUGGUGGGAUUGCAGGUUUGCACUGUCACUGGGUACCGUCACACCCCGUGACACUGAUUGCACUGUCAAACACCUCUAGCCAAGGUCACAGGUAGCAUCAUGUUCAUUUUAGAAAUGAGGAUGCUGAGAAAGACUAGAGCUCUUACCCCAGGGACAGGGAGCUAUAGUGAUGAAGUCUGGGUGCUGGUGCAGAAUCUAGGCUCCCUCUGUGCUGCACCAACCGGCCCUGGGACCCAGGACCCUCAAACACCUCUUUUAAAGGACUCAUUUAACACUCCGAGGUCUCAUCUGCAACACCA